GAUGAACUUCACAGGGUGGUGAAAGUGCAAGGUGAUGAGCAUGAUGUUCUUUUCCAAUAAAUAUCGAGGGUCUUAUUCUGGUUGAUCGAGGCUUGGCUGCCGUUUGACAAGUAAGGAAUAAUCAAAGAAGGGCUAUGCGUUAAAUAAUUAUAUGGAAAAUAUUGAAUUGUGUGGAAGGUGUGUUCCACACCGCGCUAGAGGAGUUGAUCUGAUCUUCCACAGAGUUGCAUUAUUUUCCAGAGAACACAGAGCCCCUACUUGAUUAUCCUUUUUAUACCAAGGCUACAACUGAACACAUUUGCCACUAGAAAUGUGUUCAUUUGCUGGAAGAAUAACACGUUUACUAGAUCGCUACAGUAGUUGUCGUGGUAACCAAACAAACAUACAUGCUAUAUUUUUAGCUAACCAAACCAUCCGACUUAGCAUGCUGUUAUGAAAAUUGAAUUCACCAAUACUUCAUCACCACUUAAGUUUUGAUAUUGUGUAGGACGUGUGAUUGCUCUGGUCUAGCUGUUCUUUAUCUGAACGCUGUAACAAAGAAAGUAACUGUAGUCUUGGCUAGCUACAGAUUUACUGUCACUUUUUUUUUAUUUGAAGAAAUGUUGAAGAACAAAUAGCUUCCAAGAUGGAUCGGGUAAGUUUGGUUUUAUUUACAGUAUGCCUACUGUGGUGUAUAACAUGUCUAGGCCUAUUUUUCGUCAUCUUUGAUCUUCCAUUUCCAUUUGAACAGCUGGACAAAAUAAACAAUGAUGGUAAUUAAAAAAAAAAUUAAAAAAAUACUGUUUCUGGUUAGCAUCGCUAUCGCCUUGUGUAGCCCCGCCCACUAGACACAGUUCCAUUCGAACGCGAUCGUGUUUGUUUCCGUUUGACAACUUCCGUCAACGCUAGCGAAUUACCUCAGAGCGGUGGCUAACACAUCAUAACAAAUAAACAAAAACGAAACAUGGAUCACCAGGAGGAGGGAAAUGGAUUGGUAUGUAGCGACCCGCACAGACAGUUGUGGGUUAUGUGUUAGGCUAUUAGUGGGUUGUGUCGUACUUACCAGUGUUCGCGGGGUCAUGCCAAUCAACCUGCUAUCUGCCAAUCACGGGAAUGCCUGGAAUGUUCUGAUACCGGGCAGCCUGGUGGUUGGCGUGGUGGUUGGGCAGGGGGAUGGAGCAUUGGAAGUUAAGAACGGGUUUAGCCAUUGUUCUCUCUCUUACGUCUGGGCUUCACAAGAGAAGGUCAUGGUUGGUUUGUAGUGUACCUUUCAUUUAUUUGGCGUGGGCUACGGCCAAACAGUAGCCUGUGUUAAGUUAAGUUAAACCGUCCAUUCGUUAACUCCAUCCUCUGUCUGGACAAUUGUUCCUUCAUGAUCUAGUCAGGUCAUUACAGUACAGUAGGUGGCGGUAAUGCACCAUAACGUUGGAUGCCAACCGCCGAUAAACCCCACCCUAGAAGAAGUAGAGCUGGCUGGAUGAUUUUCGUCGCUGGCGUUGGAAAGUCAAGCAGCCUCAAUGUUGUUGUGAAAGGUGCAGUGUCCAGUGGGCUAACUGGCAUAGCCUGCACAGAUGAGCAGCGACAAUGGAAUGCAGGGACUCGGAGGAACCUUGAGCCAAAGCGGUUAAACAGCAUUGACUUCACACACUAUAAGGCCAGUGACCAAUAUGCAGAAAAGCGUCCCCUGCCUCCCACUCCUGUAUUCCACUCACAGGAGGAAUUGAAUAGGAGCCUGAGACACCUGAAUCUGCCUGUGGGGAGUCUGCUCUAUAAGUGGGUUAAUGCUGAACCAACAAUAACAUCACAGCCAGUAGCAUCCCAGCUAAAAUUUGGACUGAAAGGAAUAUUUAUUUGUGGCUGUACCAUUUUAAUGUAUUUGAAGAUAAUGAGCUGAUGGCCUCCCAGUGGCUGGAAGACUGUGGAUACUCUGUGGACCACAGAGGCACUGUUGUCAGUGUUGAAGAGCCAUGGCUAUCAUCAAGCCCUGACAGAGUGCUGAACUCCAAGGAGCUGUUGGAGAUCAAGUGUCCUGUCAUGGGGAAGGCUUCUAGGGCCCUAUGAUUUCCGCGAUGUGGAAAACGAACAGAAUCGCAGAAUUUGGUAAUAAAAAUGGAAUCAACUGUAGAAUGUGGAAUUUUGCAGAAUUUGGCUGAAAUUGAUUUAAAAAAAAAUCUAAAGUAGGCCUAAUUAUUGUAGUAACGUAAAUUAUUUCAUAAUUAUAGACGAUUAUGCCUAGGAAAAUAGUGUCCAUGUAACCGGUCUCUGUCAUGUCAUCAAUCUGGUGGGUGAGACCUGGCAGCACUACAAAUACUUCUCUGUAGUUGCAUCACUUGUGACAUGGAUGAGAUCUGUCUUCUUCAAGAAGCCUGGCAGAAAGAGAAGAUGGGUGAUGACAGCUCUGUCACUCCUGGAAAGAACCCACCAUCCCACAGCAGUGUCUGCAUACAAUGACAUGGAGGAUCUGGGCUCUUACCUAGUGAAUGGAACAGCAAAAACAUGUGGGUAUGGUGCCAAGACAGAUGAGCUAUUGAGAAAGAUGGGGAUUGGAGGGAGGUGCUUGACCGUCUCUGAUGCAUUCCACUUGGCCUUCAAAGUUGUCAAAACACUGGGACACACAUCCAGCGAGGGAGGUCUACAGGCUGGCUAGGGUGUUCGAUCCUAGGCAGGCUCCAGCCAUGGAAAAGCAGAUUGAAGGCUACACACAACUGAAACCCAUGGCAAGCCCAUCAUCAGAGCUCAGUGAAAAAUGUGUCCAGGGAGCCCUCACCUGCUUUGGAGCUUGCUGAUUACUGGAGGGGCCUGAGUGUGAGAUUCCCAAGAGUUGCAGAAGUGGCAGUGGCCUACAUCUACUUCCCACUCAGCUCAGUUGACUGUGAGAGGAGUUUCAGCAAAUACAAGACUACUUACAGACAAGCGAGAAGCACUCACUGAGCUCAAAACAGAGGCUGACAAUCAUGUACUUCAAUGGAGAUGUCAGUGAUAGAUGGAAAACUUACAAUGGACAGACAUAGGAGCUCAUAAGGUAGUUCCAUAGGUUUUUCUUAUUGCUGCAUUGUUGCCUAGAUUCUUGCAUUACCUUUUCUUUAAUGAAACACUUAGAACUCUGUACUGAAGCACUUGCCUUUAUUUUUUUUUUAAAUAGUGCAAUGUUGUGUUGCAUCAUUACAAAGGUACUGUUAUCUUAUUUGAUGUUUUAUUCAUUCAUAUUACUAGACACGCUUUCUGAUGAUAAAAUUAGCAUAAAUCGUAAAACAUAGAAUUCAGAAACAUUUUCACAGAAAAAUUGAAUUUGAGAAAAAAUAUAAUGGAAUUUUGAAAAAAUAAAACGGAUUUCAUAGGGCCCUAGGAAGGGCUGUGAUUCUCUGGAUGAUGUCUUCAAUGGGAAAGCCUGUGAUGUGAAGGUGGUGGGGGGCACACCCUAACUGCAACCACAUGGGCCACGUGGCUACUACAUGCAGCUGCAAAUUGGUAUGUUUUGCACAAGACUGAGACAAAGUAAGGUGCUCAUUUGGACUCUGUCCCGGCAAGUUGUCAUCCCCGUUCCCUAUGAUGCACAGGUCUGUGCAGAGGCUGUCCUGAGGUUGAAGGCAUUCUACUCAACACAUGCUGUCAUUUAUUGUUAAGAAGCAUCAGGCAGGCAGCUUGUCACUGAGUGACAAAUAUAUGCAGCUCUGUACACGUAUGUAGUUAGAUGUCUCUCCUGUUUGCAGUUACUAUUAACACAUUGUUUUUCAAUUAAAAAGCCUGACUUAAUGCAUCAACAGUCACAGUAUUGUGAAAAUUGUUUUUAUGGCUUUGUUUUUUAUUAAUAUUAAUGAGUAUGUAAAACAAAUAAUUAAGUAAAGUUGUUAUAGAAUGAAUUGAAAUGUAUUUAACGUAACUUUUGACAACUUUAAUUCAUAUUUGGAAAUCAACCCUGUGAAUGGCAUUUGACUGAUCAGUUCAUUCAGCAUCUUUAUGAAUGAUAUCACCACACAGGUCAGCACAGGUUACACAGGUCAGCACAGAUUCAAAGUAGUUUGUCAAUUUCAGAUGAGAGGUUGAUUGGCACUGUUUGUGAGAUGAUUCUAAACGACUUGAGCCUUUGAAGUACGCGUUCCACAUGAACCCUCACAUUAGCUAUCCGUCUUGUACAUAUGGUGUCCUCUGACAGCUGUGUGCCUCUUUUUGUGAAGGCUGGAAUUGUAAAUUCGACCUUCCUCUCGUGUAGCAGAUCAGAUUGUGAAGCUCCGGUCAGCCACGACCUUAUCACCUGGACAAAGGUACUCCAGGAACCCAGAAUCCGAUGUUAUAUAUUUGUCACUAAAUCUACCUCCAUAUGCUGAGGAGAUGAACACCACUAGACCACAAGGUGCAAUGGCCAUCAGGUACUUGAUAGUGUUCUGGGCAUAGUAAUGGCUGAAUGACUCCCCUCUUGAAUCCAGGUUCUUGCACUUCUGUAAAGCAGUUUCUGAGCAGUCAAUAAUGCAGGUUGUUCCUGGGCAGUGGUCCUUAAAACAUUGUCACAUAGUAGCAUGGAUGGGGUCUCCCUUGGCAACCAUGGAAUGUACUACCUCCGAUUCUCUUCCAUCAUGUCAAUCCAAUAACUAAUCACUUGACUGACAAUACUCUGG
rnacentral:lncRNA from 1 species